rnacentral:rRNA from 1 species
UACGUAGGGUCCAAGCGUUGUCCGGAAUUAUUGGGCGUAAAGAGCUCGUAGGCGGUUUGUUGCGUCGGCUGUGAAAUCCCGAGGCUCAACCUCGGGUCUGCAGUCGAUACGAGCAAACUAGAGUGUUGCAGGGGAGACUGGAAUUCCUGGUGUAGCGGUGAAAUGCGCAGAUAUCAGGAGGAACACCGGUGGCGAAGGCGGGUCUCUGGGCAACAACUGACGCUGAGGAGCGAAAGCGUGGGGAGCGAACAGG